AGCUCCAAUAGCGUAUAUUAAAGUUGUUGCAGUUAAAAAGCUCGUAGUUGAAUGUCUGGCUGUCGGGUGCUUUGGCUUCGGUCGAGCAGUCGGCGGUCAUCCGCAUGCGAAACUAGUACGGCCUUUACUGGUUCGGCUGGGGGAGUGUGCAUUUUACUUUGAAAAAAUUAGAGUGUUUCAGGCAGGCAAUGGCUUGAAUACAUUAGCAUGGAAUAAUGGAAUAGGACUUUAGUCAAUUUUGUUGGUUAUUUGGCUUUAGUAAUGAUUAACAGGAACAGUUGGGGGCAUUAGUAUUUAAUUGUCAGAGGUGAAAUUCUUGGAUUUAUUAAAGACUAACUUAUGCGAAAGCAUUUGCCAAGGAUGUUUUCA
rnacentral:rRNA from 1 species